GGGGCCGUGGCGCAAUUGGGAGCGCGCUAGAAUGGCAUUCUAGAGGUUGAGGGUUCGAUCCCCUUCGGCUCCA
rnacentral:tRNA from 2 species